rnacentral:lncRNA from 1 species
AUUAGGUCUUUCCACUUUUCCGUGGAAAGACCUAUUGGUUUUCUUCUGAUUAUUAGGUCUUUCAACCUUUCAGUUGAAAGACCUAUAGGUUUUGUUCUGAUUAUUAGGUCUUUCCACUUUUCCGUGGAAAGACCUAUUGGUUUUCUUCUGAUUAUUAUUAGGUCUUUCCACUUUUCCGUGGAAAGACCUAUUGGUUUUCUUCUGAUUAUUAUUAUUAUUAUUAUUUUUUUUCUUCCGCCAACUUUUUUUCCUUCGCAAUUUUUUGUUUUUGCAAGAUGUCGCUUAGAUAUAUGGUAUAUGAUAUCGAACAAUAAAUACGCUUUUGAAACAGACACCGCGUAACCAAAAUCUUAUCCAUGUAAGAGUUAUCUCCCCGAACACUGUUUUUCUUGUUAUCACUUAAUCUUCGCAACCGUAUAAGAAACCGACAAAUUUAUUUUACCAAAUUGCUCGUUAUAUCCUCAGGAUGAUUUGAUUCAUUUUGACCGAAGCUAUCCGGAGACUCCAUAUGAGAGUUAUUUCCCCUUUUAUAUUUGAUAUAAGUGAUAUGCAUUUUUAACUGGAAAACCAUAAGUGGUAGAGGCCUAGGGUCUUUUGAUUUGAGGUCCUUGGUCCAAAAAAAUGAAAAUGAGGUCAAGGUCAAAGGUCAAGGUCAUGAUUAAAAUUUUGAUUUUGGCUUGUUAUCUCUUAUUUUCAGAAAUCAUACAAGAUAUCGACAAAAUAUUUUCACACAAUUGUUAGUUACGACAUGUCGUAACACAUAAAUUUUAGUCGAAAGGGUACCUAGACAUUUGACGCAAGUUUUUCCCCUUUUUAUAUCUAAUAUCAUACGUAUGGUAAUAUAACUCAUUAACAAUAUAAAGUAGAGGACUAGAGUCUUUUGAUUUGAGGUCCUUGGUUUAUGACCUUGAAAUUGAGCUCAAGGUCAUAUGCUAAUUAAACGUUCUAGAUUUUGACCUUUGCUUUUACCUCAUAUGUACACAUGAUAAAGUCAUGGGACUUUUUGCAUUAAGUUGUAAGCAAUGUGACCUUAAAAAACACAACCGGAAGUGACCUUUUGUAAACCGGAAGUAGCUAUUUUUUGUACUAAAUCAAUG